UUGACUAUAAGUCUCCACCACCUCCAUACGUUUACAGUUCUCCACCACCUCCACUAUCGUAUUCGCCAUCUCCCAAGGUAGACUACAAGUCUCCACCACCUCCAUAUGUUUACAGCUCUCCACCACCACCAUAUUACUCACCAUCCCCUAAAGUCGAAUACAAAUCCCCACCACCUCCAUAUGUUUAUAGUUCUCCACCACCACCAUAUUACUCACCCUCACCUAAAGUAGAUUACAAGUCUCCACCACCACCGUAUGUUUACAGCUCCCCACCACCACCAUACUAUUCACCUUCUCCAAAGCCCACAUACAAAUCACCACCACCUCCAUAUGUUUACAAUUCUCCACCACCACCAUACUACUCACCAUCCCCUAAGGUCGAAUACAAAUCUCCACCACCUCCAUACGUCUAUAGCUCUCCACCCCCACCAUACUACUCACCCUCACCUAAAGUAGAUUAUAAGUCUCCACCACCACCGUAUGUUUACAACUCUCCACCACCACCAUACUAUUCACCUUCUCCAAAACCCACAUACAAGUCCCCACCACCACCAUAUAUUUACAGCUCUCCACCACCACCAUACUAUUCUCCUUCUCCUAAACCAGUAUACAAAUCUCCACCACCACCAUACGUCUAUUCCUCUCCACCACCACCAUACUAUUCACCUUCUCCUAAACCAGCAUACAAAUCUCCACCACCACCGUAUGUUUAUAGCUCUCCACCUCCUCCAUACUACUCGCCUUCUCCUAAACCCAUAUACAAGUCUCCACCACCACCGUACGUCUACAACUCUCCUCCACCACCAUACUACUCUCCUUCUCCAAAACCGGCAUACAAAUCUCCACCACCACCAUACGUAUACAGCUUUCCACCUCCUCCAUACUACUCGCCUUCUCCUAAACCCGUAUACAAGUCUCCACCACCACCAUACGUCUACAACUCUCCUCCACCACCAUACUACUCUCCUUCUCCAAAACCGGCAUACAAAUCUCCACCACCACCAUACGUAUACAGCUCUCCACCACCACCAUACUACUCGCCUUCUCCUAAACCAACAUACAAAUCUCCACCACCACCAUAUGUUUAUAGCUCUCCACCUCCUCCAUACUACUCGCCUUCUCCUAAACCCGUAUACAAGUCUCCACCACCACCGUACAUCUACAACUCUCCACCACCACCAUACUACUCCCCUUCACCUAAACCAUCAUACAAAUCCCCACCACCACCAUAUGUUUACAGCUCUCCACCACCACCAUAUUACUCGCCUUCUCCUAAGCUUACAUACAAAUCCUCACCACCACCCUAUGUUUACAGCUCUCCACCACCACCAUAUUACUCUCCUUCUCCUAAGGUUGUAUACAAAUCUCCACCACCACCAUAUGUUUACAGCUCUCCACCACCACCAUACUACUCCCCUUCACCUAAACCAUCAUACAAAUCCCCACCACCACCGUACGUCUAUAACUCUCCACCUCCUCCUUACUACUCUCCUUCACCUAAGGUCAUAUACAAAUCGCCACCACACCCACAUGUAUGUGUUUGUCCCCCACCUCCACCAUGCUACUCUCAUUCUCCAAAGAUUGAGUACAAAUCCCCACCAACACCAUAUGUUUACCACUCACCACCUCCCCCACCUUAUUAUUCGCCUUCGCCUAAACCUGCAUAUAAAUCUUCACCACCACCUUACGUCUACAGCUCUCCACCACCACCAUAUUACUCACCUGCUCCUAAGCCCGUAUACAAAUCUCCACCACCACCAUACGUGUACAACUCCCCACCACCACCAUAUUACUCACCAUCCCCUAAACCUACAUACAAAUCUCCACCACCACCAUAUGUAUACAGCUCUCCACCACCACCAUAUUACUCACCUACUCCUAAACCUACAUACAAAUCUCCACCACCCCCAUAUGUCUACAGUUCCCCACCACCACCAUAUUACUCGC
rnacentral:lncRNA from 1 species